UACGGAGGGGGCUAGCGUUGUUCGGAAUUACUGGGCGUAAAGCGCACGUAGGCGGCUUUGUAAGUUAGAGGUGAAAGCCCGGGGCUCAACCCCGGAACUGCCUUUAAGACUGCAUCGCUUGAACAUCGGAGAGGUGAGUGGAAUUCCGAGUGUAGAGGUGAAAUUCGUAGAUAUUCGGAAGAACACCAGUGGCGAAGGCGGCUCACUGGACGAUUGUUGAUGCUGAGGUGCGAAAGCGUGGGGAGCAAACAGG
rnacentral:rRNA from 1 species